AGUGAACGCUGGCGGUAGGCCUAACACAUGCAAGUCGAACGGCAGCACAGUAAGAGCUUGCUCUUACGGGUGGCGAGUGGCGGACGGGUGAGGAAUACAUCGGAAUCUACUUUUUCGUGGGGGAUAACGUAGGGAAACUUACGCUCAUACCGCAUACGACCUACGGGUGAAAGCAUGGGAUAUUCGGACCUUGCGCGAUUGAAUGAGCGGCUUUGGGAUUAGCUAGUUGGCGGGGUAAAGGCCCACCAAGUCGACGAUCCGUAGCUGGUCUGGGAGGAUGAUCGGCCACACUGGAACGUAGACACGGACCAGACUCCUGCGGGAGGCAGCAGUGGGGAAUAUGGGACAAUGGGCGCAAGCCUGAUCCAGCCAUAGCGAGUGUGUGAAGAAGGCCUUCGGGUUGUAAAGCCCUCUUGUUGGGAAAGAAAAGCAGCAGGUUAAUACCACGCGGUUCUGACGGUACCCAAAGAAUAAGCACCGGCUAACUUCGUG
rnacentral:rRNA from 1 species